rnacentral:tRNA from 1 species
UCCCUCGUAGCUCAAUUGGUCAGAGCGUCUGACUGUUAAUCAGGAGGUUGAAAGUUCAAGUCUUUCCGGGGGAG